rnacentral:lncRNA from 1 species
GGGAGUCGACGUGUGAUUGAUAACGUCAAUGAAACAGUAUAGUUUUACAUAAUGGGGGGGACUUUAGGUCGUUCACACUCCAUCCAGCAGGUGGCGGUAGUUUGUACACUUUGUUAGUGAAAGACGCGGUAGAAAACCAAACAGGCCGUUGUUGCUGAGGUGCACUGUUCGCCAGUGAAAACUUCGUUUCAAAUGUUGCUAAAUGUUUGGCAGUUUGUUAUUGGCAGCCCAGUAACACGCUGCAAAACCUGAUUUCAGCUUUCUCCACCGGCUCCACCCUAAAAAGUGGAGACGUUCAACGGAAAAGUCUUUGACAUUCACUCAGUCAUUGUGGUUGCUGAGGAUGUACUCUCACAGGUCAGAGUACAGUGACAGGCGGCAGUAUGGUGGCAGAAGUUCAAGGUCCUGGGAUGACUAUGAUGACAGAUGUGAAGAAAGGCGUGAAUCUCACAGAGAUGUCCUGCGAGAUUCCUAUCAUAAACACGGUGGGGAUGGAUGCAGCAGCAGCAGAGAGAGAACAAGCAGAGGUCGAGAGUACAGUGACUCACCUAACAGGGCGUACAAUAAAGAUUCACUGAGCAGAGAGUGGAGAAGAAAGAGCCCAGUGAGAAGACGCAUGUCUUCACCUGAUUGGGGUGUCUCUGAACAGAAAAGGCGAAGGCUUACAGAGGAUGAUGACGAUGGUUACAGAUACAGGUAUACACAUGAGGAUAAUACUUUCAAGCAGUCACCAGACAUUUUUUCGCAUCUACAUGUACCCAAGGAUUUUAAACAUACACUGCCACAGGAUGAGGACUUCAAAUACCAGAAAACACCUAAAGACUCCAAACACAGGCGUUGGCAUGAGGAGUUUAUGUGCAGGCAAAAACAUGAUGAUUUCAGCCUCUUGUCUAAUUGUUACCAAGAUAGUGAUUCUCAUGAAAGGAGUUUGGACCAUACACAAGAAACACAACUGCAAGAUCACCCUACGGAAAGCUAUUCCAGACACAGAGGGAGGAGUGACAGCCCUUCUACGCAUCAUGAGGAUCAACAGUUUCCACUGAAUGGAUCUAGUGAACAGUGUAUUGAGAGUGGUGUCAUCAGCCAAACCAAUGCUGUUCCUGGACAGAAGUUAACCAAGGGUUUCCAACGUUUCCUUGAUGUGCUCAACAAGGGUGUGAAUGUUGCCACCCUCACCAAGAUAGUGACUCAGACUUCUACAGAAGUCAGUCGACCAUGUUCUCCAGUUUCUGCAGCUUAUAUGUGGUCUCCCAGUUCUCCUGGGAGGCAACACCAAGAAAGCAACAAAAAUAACUGCUGCUGGAGUGAGAGUGAGGGUUCCCAGAGACUGGCUUCUCCACAGCAAAAUCACAGGUCUUUCAGCCCAAAGGGACACACAUUGCCUGAUGAAAAUUUAAUGCAAAGGAGUGAAGGAGAACAAAGCUUCUUGAGCCUGCAUAGUAGAUCCAGGUCUCCAUCAUUGGUGGACAAGAUAACCCUGACACCUGAAGAUGAUCACAAGCACAGGCAAAUACAGGGUGUUUUGCAGGCCAUUGGCAUGGAUUUGGGAUUUGAGGAACUGGGCCAAAUGUCACAUCGAAUCCAGGAGCGGUUAUAUGGAAAAAAGGAUAGUGACUGGGGUGGCCGCUAUAAAGGAAGUAAGGAAAAGGACACAAGGAGAGCGUUUUCUCCAAGACAUCAAAGUAGAUCAUCAUCGAGCAGAUCUAAUUUCAGCCCUGUAGCUCCGGACUUUGAGAUGAAAAAAGACUUGUACGGUGCUCAGAGAAAUGAAGCAGAGGUAUCUGUAGCUGUUGAAUACGGCCAUAAUAGCAGCAGUAGUUCUUUACAGGACAGUGAGAAGUCUGGGACUAACUCACACAAAAGCACUGCUGCAUUACAAACAUUUUCUCAAAAUCCCACAUACUCAUUAUCAGAACCAACUCUUACACCUGUCAUGCCGACCUACUCUCCACUGCUGACAUACCCAGUCGUACCUCCAGCUCCGCCUUCUACCUUGCCCCAGGUUAUACCUGGAUUUUUCUUGCCUCGCCUCCCACCCUUCUUCACUUGCCCCCCUAUCCCACCUCUGAACAUCCUUCCAGGAGUACUUGCUCAAACAGGGCGCCUACUCCCUCAACACAUUAGUAAUCCACAACCCCCCUUUUUCAACUUGCCAGAUAUAAACACAAUUCAGCCCCUGAACACAACACAAAAAUCAAAAACACUGUCAAGACCCCGAUGUUUACAGGUCAUUGAAACUAAGCUGCCUGGAUAA